rnacentral:rRNA from 1 species
GAUGAACGCUGGCGGCGUGCCUAAUACAUGCAAGUCGAGCGAACAGACGAGGAGCUUGCUCCUCUGACGUUAGCGGCGGACGGGUGAGUAACACGUGGAUAGCCUACCUAUAAGACUGGGAUAACUUCGGGAAACCGGAGCUAAUACCGGAUAAUAUAUUGAACCGCAUGGUUCAAUAGUGAAAGACGGUUUUGCUGUCACUUAUAGAUGGAUCCGCGCCGCAUUAGCUAGUUGGUAAGGUAACGGCUUACCAAGGCAACGAUGCGUAGCCGACCUGAGAGGGUGAUCGGCCACACUGGAACUGAGACACGGUCCAGACUCCUAAGGGAGGCAGCAGUAGGGAAUCUUCCGCAAUGGGCGAAAGCAUGACGGAGCAACGCCGCGUGAGUGAUGAAGGUCUUCGGAUCGUAAAACUCUGUUAUUAGGGAAGAACAAAUGUGUAAGUAACUAUGCACGUCUUGACGGUACCUAAUCAGAAAGCCACGGCUAACUACGUG